ensembl:snRNA U6 U6 spliceosomal RNA
GUGCUCGCUUCGACUGCACAUAUACUAAAAUUGGAAUGAUACAGAGGUUAGCAUGGCCCCUGCGGAAGGAUGUCAUGCAAGUUCAUGAAGUGUUCCAUAUUUUU